rnacentral:rRNA from 1 species
AGUGAACGCUGGCGGUAGGCCUAACACAUGCAAGUCGAACGGCAGCACAGUAAGAGCUUGCUCUUACGGGUGGCGAGUGGCGGACGGGUGAGGAAUACAUCGGAAUCUACUUUUUCGUGGGGGAUAACGUAGGGAAACUUACGCUAAUACCGCAUACGACCUACGGGUGAAAGCAGGGGAUCUUCGGACCUUUCGCGAUUGAAUGAGCCGAUGUCGGAUUAGCUAGUUGGCGGGGUAAAGGCCCACCAAGGCGACGAUCCGUAGCUGGUCUGAGAGGAUGAUCAGACACACUGGAACUGAGACACGGUACAGAAUACUACGGGAGGCAGCAGUGGGGAAUAUUGGACAAUGGGCGCAAGCAUGAUCCAGCCAUACCGCGUGGGUGAAGAAGGCCUUCGGGUUGUAAAGCCCUUUUGUUGGGAAAGAAAAGCAGCAGGUUAAUACCCCGCUGUUCUGACGGUACCAAAAGAAUAAGCACCGGCUAACUUCGUG